AUGUUAAAGAGCCGGUUUUUCACUGGUUUUUCGGCUUUUGUUUUUGUUUUUUCUUGUUUCUCCUCGGUUCUACUUAGUUUCUUUCUCUAUGUUUACUGUUUCUAUUUUUUUAUUUGGCUUCUUCGUUUCUUUCCGUUUUCACACUCUUUUUUUUCUUUUCCUUCUUUUUCUUUUCAUUUAUUUUUUCUUGUUUUUCAUUGGUUUUCUUUUGUUUUCUCUCAGGUUUUUAUUUUUUUCUACGAACUUUUUGGUAUAUAUCUAAUACACUCAAUAUUUUUUAAAUAUAAGAUUUACAUUAAUGAAUACAUGGUCAACAUUUUUUCUAUAUACAUUGAACAUUUUUCAAAUGCUUGA
rnacentral:rRNA from 1 species